rnacentral:tRNA from 1 species
GGAAGGGUGCUGGAGUGGCUGAACAGGCACGCCUGGAGAGCGUGUAGGCGGGGGAACCCGCCUCGUGGGUUCAAAUCCCACCCCUUCCGCCA